rnacentral:misc_RNA from 1 species
CUGAAAAGUUCUUUCAAAGAACCUAUCAAUACCCCAUUGUUUACCUUACCACGUUUGCUUCCACUGGACAGGCUGAUUUCCGAUAUGGGAAUCAGCCCUCUAGCGUCGACCUAAAAAAUCGAACUGCUGGGGAGUGCCGGUGGAUAGCCAUCAACUCAAAAAAAAACUUUUUAAAUCAGCUAUAUACUGUCUGAACAACUGUUUUAUAACAAAAACAUUAUAA